rnacentral:rRNA from 1 species
GGGUCCCUAAUACAUGGCAAGUCGAGCGCGGGAAGCAAGCAGAUCUCCUUCGGGAGUGACGCUUGUGGAACGAGCGGCGGACGGGUGAGUAACACGUGGGCAACCUACCUGUAAGACUGGGAUAACUCCGGGAAACCGGGGCUAAUACCGGAUGAAACAAAGCGUCGCAUGACGCAAUGUUAAAAGGCGGCAUAUGCUGUCACUUACAGAUGGGCCCGCGGCGCAUUAGCUAGUUGGUGAGGUAAAGGCUCACCAAGGCAACGAUGCGUAGCCGACCUGAGAGGGUGAUCGGCCACACUGGGACUGAGACACGGCCCAGACUCCUACGGGAGGCAGCAGUAGGGAAUCUUCCGCAAUGGACGAAAGUCUGACGGAGCAACGCCGCGUGAGUGAUGAAGGUUUUCGGAUCGUAAAACUCUGUUGUUAGGGAAGAACAAGUGCCAUUCGAAUAGGUUGGCACCUUGACGGUACCUAACCAGAAAGCCCCGGCUAACUACGUGCCAGCAGCCGCGGUAAUACGUAGGGGGCAAGCGUUGUCCGGAAUUAUUGGGCGUAAAGCGCGCGCAGGCGGUCCUUUAAGUCUGAUGUGAAAGCCCACGGCUUAACCGUGGAGGGCCAUUGGAAACUGGAGGACUUGAGUACAGAAGAGGAGAGUGGAAUUCCACGUGUAGCGGUGAAAUGCGUAGAGAUGUGGAGGAACACCAGUGGCGAAGGCGACUCUCUGGUCUGUAACUGACGCUGAGGUGCGAAAGCGUGGGGGGCCACACCGGGGAGGGGGGAAUCUU